rnacentral:rRNA from 1 species
CCCCCACCCACCCACACGCCCCGUUUGAUGUAAACUCGCUCAAUCUGCGGACGCAAGCGGCCACCUAGCAGGAUGGAGCCGACGAGUUCUUUAGGAGCCGACGAGAGGCGGGGGCCAGGAUCGGUGGAGGUGCAGGUGGCUGCAGCGGCGCUUCAGCGGUCGGAGGUGUUCCACGUCGUGAAGGAACUGCUCGGCUUCGUUCUCUACAUGCACCACCAGAUUCCCUCGGUAUUGCAGAGUCUUGAAACUGAAUUUGCAGGUUUAAAGGAGGAAAUGUCAGAAAUGACAGCACCAUUGGCAGAACUGAAACCUUCUGAUCAGAGAAAGUACAACACACGAAAAAGGGAGGUUAGAUGCAGAAUCAAGAAGCAGGAAAAGUUAAUGAAAGGCAUCUCUACCGUACUUUCUGCUUUUCAGCAAGCACUUGAUAAAGUUUCUACCAUUGAAGGAGUUGCCCUGAUCCUGGGAGGGAGUCUUGUACGACCUUUGUUUGUCUAUGACAUUACAGUUACUCAUGGUAGAUUUGAUUCUGGAAGUGUCAAAGGGCAUGGUACAACAAAGUUAGCUCAGUCUGUUUCUCGAAAGGCCGUCCGAGCUCUUAUAUCAUGUGGUGCAGGGAGUUUAUCUUACACAGGCCCUACCAAGCUGUUUCUGCUGGUUAGAUGUCCUUGUACAUUGAACUUACCCCUGGAUUUUGCGCCAAAACGGGAAUUCCGUUACAGUAAGAAGGUUGUACCCCAGCAAAUGUCUAUAAAAUGCAAUACAGCAUACUACCAAAAGAAUAAUAAGCAUGUUGCAUCAAUCGUGGAUCCGUCAUGUUGUACUUCAGAAUCUUCUCCGUCAGAUGUUAUCUGGUUCCAGUGCAAGCACACGAUAAGAGGCUUACCAUGCAAGGCGUCAUUAGAAGGAUGAUGAUCCGCUCCUUUUCAUUAUCCUACAUCAUGUAUGUUACAACUGGAAAAUGCUGUAGUGAGGUGAACAUCGACCCUGACCUCAGCAUUCUUCAAUCCUAAAUUGGUCCUCCCCCCUUUUCUGUAAAUGUUCACCAAGGAUCAGCAUUCUUCAAUCUUAUAUCCCCGCCCCCCCUCCCCCCUUAUGUUCGUUUGCACUGGAAUGGUUUGGUGCUCAAUAAAAAUAUUUUGUUUCCCGUGUGGGCUAUCUAUGAGCUGUCUUAAAAAAAAUUCAUGCAGGUUACCCUUUUUAUACUUGCGUUUAAUCUGUUUUCCCCCAUUUUUAGUGUAGUUUUUUUCUUCCUGUGCGCCUAUGUAAG